CAAGAGGCCACUGUCAAGCAUUCCUUGGAAAGCAGCAACAGCAUCUUUCAAAUAAUCCCGCCUAACUUGCGAUAUGAUGAGGAGGCUGCUGGCAGCACUGUUCAGUGUGAAGCCCUUGAUGUGGGUCUCAGCAGUGUGCUUCACUUUCAUGGCUUCUUCAAUACAAUCCAGAGAUAACAACGCUUUUAUGAGGGUGUCAUAAGUACGAUACUGGUAGUCGCUCUUCCCUUGAUUCUUCAGAAAAACAUUGUAGGCCUCUCUUGCACUGUUUUUCUUACAAAGCAUCCUUAUUUUUCGUUCUUCAAUAUCAGAAGAUCCUGGACUUCUCAUUUCUUCUUGUCUAGUCUUAGGUACCUCAAAUGGGACAACUUGACCAUUUUUCUCAAAUAUAUCAGCCAGUAAUCUUAGUGUUUUCUCACGAGGAACAACAUUUUCUUCUUGAAUUUUAGUCCAAACAGCUUCAGCUCUUCUCCAGUCAGAGUUGUUAUCACAAAGUUGAAGCAGGUAGUAGUACAUCUCAUCUCUAUCACAUUCAAAUACAUUCUGAGUUAAUUCUACCAAGUGCUCCAAAGUCUCCAUCUGAUUACCUGAUAUACACCUUUUUGCAAACCACUGCAAUCUUCCAGAGUGGGCUCUCAAACCAGGAGUCUCAAUAACCUUCCUGGCC
rnacentral:lncRNA from 1 species